GUCUACGGCCAUGCCACCCCGAACAAGCCCAAUCCUGUCUGAUCUCGGAAGCUAAGCAGGGUCGGGCCUGGUUAGUACUUGGAUGGGAGACCACCUAGGAAGACCGGGUGCUUUAGGCG
rfam:Pteropus alecto contig52711, whole genome shotgun sequence.